GUCUUUCUCAAGAUAUAUGAAUCCGUUGACAAUAGCUUCUCCUGAGAGCACAAUUACACACAGCAGAAAUGAGAUUUUCAAUUAGAACAAAAUAAAUAUAACUAGAAUAAAGAACGAGAGAGAGAGAGUGCUCAUAAUGCAUACUCGAUCAAAAUAAACUAUGGAAGUUAUAAGAACUAAUAUGAAGAAUUAUCAGAGUUUUAACUAAAUUUCAAAUUAAAAAAAAAAAUGCAUUUA
rnacentral:misc_RNA from 1 species